rnacentral:rRNA from 1 species
CGUGGUAUGUAGUAGUGUGAUCCUGACUCGCGACGAGUAGGUGCUUGGACCUCUACAAGCGAGUGGCGAACGGGUGAGUAACACGUGGAUAACCUGCCUCAAGGCUGGGGAUAACAUUUGGAAACAGAUGCUAAUACCGAAUAAAACUUAGUAUCGCAUGAUAUCAAGUUAAAAGGCGCUACGGCGUCACCUAGAGAUGGAUCCGCGGUGCAUUAGUUAGUUGGUGGGGUAAAGGCUUACCAAGACGAUGAUGCAUAGCCGAGUUGAGAGACUGAUCGGCCACAUUGGGACUGAGACACGGCCCAAACUCCUACGGGAGGCUGCAGUAGGGAAUCUUCCACAAUGGGCGCAAGCCUGAUGGAGCAACGCCGCGUGUGUGAUGAAGGCUUUCGGGUCGUAAAGCACUGUUGUAUGGGAAGAAAUGCUAAAAUAGGGAAUGAUUUUAGUUUGACGGUACCAUACCAGAAAGGGACGGCUAAAUACGUGCCAGCAGCCGCGGUAAUACGUAUGUCCCGAGCGUUAUCCGGAUUUAUUGGGCGUAAAGCGAGCGCAGACGGUUGAUUAAGUCUGAUGUGAAAGCCCGGAGCUCAACUCCGGAAUGGCAUUGGAAACUGGUUAACUUGAGUGUUGUAGAGGUAAGUGGAACUCCAUGUGUAGCGGUGGAAUGCGUAGAUAUAUGGAAGAACACCAGUGGCGAAGGCGGCUUACUGGACAACAACUGACGUUGAGGCUCGAAAGUGUGGGUAGCAAACAGGAUUAGAUACCCUGGUAGUCCACACCGUAAACGAUGAAUACUAGGUGUUAGGAGGUUUCCGGCCUCUUAGUGCCGAAAGCUAACGCAUUAAGUAUUCCGCCUGGGGGAGUACGACCGCAAGGGUUGAAACUCAAAGGGAAUUGGACGGGGACCCCGCACAAGCGGGUGGGAGCAUGUGGUUUAAUUUCGAAAGCAACCGCGAAAGAACCCUUUACCCAGGUUCUUUGGACAAUCCCUUUUGGAAGCUUUUAAGAGAUUAGAAAGGUGGUUCCUCUUCGGGAGAACAAAAGGUGAACAGGGUGGGUGCAAUUGGUCCGUCGUCAGCUCGGUGUCGUGGAGAUGGUUGGAUUAAGUCCCCGCCAACGAGCGCCAACCCCUUAAUGUAGUGUCAGUCAAUUCUACAAAGA